rnacentral:tRNA from 1 species
UCCGGGGUAGUUCAUCGGCAGAACGCUUGGCUCCGGACCGAGAGGGAGCUGGUUCGACUCCAGCCCCCGGAU